CGAAAUAAAAUAACCCCAAACAGAUGCUCUGAAAGAGGCUCAAAUACUGGCGAAUCAAGGGUAUAGGACAUAUUAUCCCUUUCUUGAUCCCCCGAAAGACUGUUCAGGUGCAAAGUUCCGAAAAUUAUACCGUCUAGCAAAACCUCUAACCUUGGAAUUGGUAAAGCUUUUAGGUCCACACUUGACAACUCUAACCAGAAUAAGUGAACUUACAAUUUAAAAAAAAGUUUUAACAACAUUGAGGGAUAUAACCAGGAAUAUUAAUCAUGGAAUUUCUUAAAGCAGUGCUUCCAAAGCAAUACAUGAGUUAAAGUCUCUAAAAGGUUUUAUCGGAAAUACAAUUUUCCAGUUAUAAUUGGAUGUGUGGACUGUCCCCAUAUUGCAAUUGUCUCCACCACAGGGUCAGUAUCCUGAGGAAGUAUAUGUAAAUAGGAAAGUGUACCACUCGAUUAAUACACAGCUGAUUUGUGAUCUUGAAUUGAAGAUUUUAAAUAUUUAUACCAAGUAGCCAUGAUAAUUUUAUUUUUAACAAAAAUAGUGCCCACAUAUGCCAUACCAUAUAAGAAAUAUCCAUAAUAAUAGAUACAGAUCAUUUUCUUUUCGUGGAGACUAUGUAUAUGCCUUAAGGCAAUUGAUGUUAACACUCAUCCUUAUUGCUGAACCAGGUAGCCCGGAAGAUAACUACAAUAUGGCUCAAAAAAUGACAAGAGCAACUAUUGAAAAAUAUAAUGGGGUACCGAGAUUACGAAUUAGGUGCCUUUUGCACCACAGAGUAUUACACUACAAUCCAUUCACUGCAUCUAAAAAUAUAAAUGCACGUAGCGUUUUACACAAUA